UAUGAUCGAAAUGUUAAAUUAAAUAUAGGUUAACUCGGUCAGUGCAUCGUGGACGCAUAAUUGAGUAUAUUAUCGUGUAUGUUUGAAAUGCAAGAUAUUUCCUUUAUUGAAGCGUUAUUUAUUAAUUGCUUUUAUAUUUAGUGCGAAAUCAGUUGUAGAAAUUAGUUAAACAGUCAGCUGGAAAAGUAUUUAAUAUGAAACCGGCAAACAAGUAUAUAGGCCGCCUUCAAUGCAAAGUCUGUUCAUGUAUUGUGAUAAUUGAUUUGUCAUGUAAUAAUUGAAAUUUCUAACACACCAGUCAGAAACAUAACCUCAAUUCAGUGAUAUAUGAAUAAAGAGAAGAAAUUCACAUAUUUAAUACGAAACCAGGAAAAUAUAUAGGUCAUGUGCAAUGCAAAUUCUGUUUAUGUAUUGUGAUAAUUGAUUUUUCACAUAAUUAUUGAAAUUUCUGACAGACCAGUCAAAAAUCACAUAACCUCAGUGAUAUGAUAUGAAUAUUAGAGGUAGAUAAGUGUAAUAUAUAUGAGAAAGAGUGCUCAUAACCCCUAUGGGUUAUGUCAAAAUGGAAUUCAAACUAGGGAAAAUUACUCUAAUCAAGAAGAUAAAUUGUCACCAAAGAAACAUGCAAGAAGGAAAACAAAGAAUGCACUGGAUAUCACACAUUAUAUGGAUUAAGUGUUGAAGAGAACAUGAAUUGUUGAGUAUUUCGAGUCUGAUGAUCUUGCAUUACAGAAUUGGUAAUUCAGAUCUUGAAAAUUAAUAGGAUAAAAUCAAUGCAAGAAAAUUGAGUGUGUGUUCAUGGAAUAAUUAUCUCUGUCAUAUGAUCGUAGGAACUACAUAGUCAUUAACUUCAAAUAAUGAGUAUGUUUAGAGAUACAUUAACAGAUGCAAGUGAGUUGAACAUAUUUAACGCAAGACUUAACUUUGCCAAGUCUGAUUUAACUGAAGUUGCCAAGAGAGUUAAACAUAAUACAUAUUAUGAAUAAAUAAAUAAUUAUUUUUAUAGGC